UACAGAGGUGGCAAGCGUUGUUCGGAAUUACUGGGCGUAAAGGGCGCGUAGGCGGCCAUCUAAGUCAGACGUGAAAUCCCUCGGCUUAACCGGGGAACUGCGUCUGAUACUGGAUGGCUUGAAUCCGGGAGAGGGAUGCGGAAUUCCAGGUGUAGCGGUGAAAUGCGUAGAUAUCUGGAGGAACACCGGUGGCGAAGGCGGCAUCCUGGACCGGCAUUGACGCUGAGGAGCGAAAGCCAGGGGAGCAAACGGG
rnacentral:rRNA from 1 species